rnacentral:rRNA from 1 species
UACGGGGGGAGCAAGCGUUGUUCGGAUUUACUGGGCGUAAAGGGCGCGUAGGCGGCCACCGCAAGUCGACUGUGAAAUCUCCGGGCUUAACUCGGAAAGGUCAGCCGAUACUGCGGGGCUAGAGUGCAGAAGGGGCAACUGGAAUUCUCGGUGUAGCGGUGAAAUGCGUAGAUAUCGAGAGGAACACCUGCGGCGAAGGCGGGUUGCUGGGCUGACACUGACGCUGAAGUGCGAAAGCUAGGGGAGCGAACGGG